ACCCUGGGUGACAGCUGUGUGCUGAGACGGCGGGGGUUGGCGCCCUUGUAGGCUCUGAGGCAGGUGGCAGGGGCAGCUGGGCAAGUUCUGCCCAGGUCUUCAGACCCUGCUUGAAGCCCCUUGGUGAGGAGAGAAGGAAAGACUGGUUCUGAGAUCGCUCCAGAAAUCAGAAACUCUCAGCUUCCCAGCAGUUUUGCCAGGUGCUUAAGGAAGGUCACUUCAUGGCAAGUGCAGAAACCUCAGGAUAUUUUGGGAUCCUUAAGAAGAGAGGAAUUCACCCAAAUCUAUAGGUAUUGCAGAAAUGCCAUAUUAAAUACCUGAUUUCUCCUAACUUUGGGAACUCACCUUUAGGACGGCCUCCUGGAAUGAGACACAGCUGUUUACCUGAACUGACCUGUUCCCAGGACUGAGUGGCUGGUUCAGUGAGAUAGGGAGUAAUCUAUCAACUCAGCUUCUGGACUGUGAAAAUUCUUCAAAGUUUCAAAGAGUCUCUUCCAUACCAGACUUUAAAUCAAAGCAACAUGUUGUUCAAGUUUUCUGGAAGAUACUGCUCUACAAAUAUUAUCUGGGCUCUCUCUCUGCCCCAAGUUGAUGGAUUAUCAUUCAGCAACAAUUCCCCUCUCACUGUGGACACAAUGUACCCAUUGAUGUUGGGUGCAACCAGAUUUUAUUUAUUCAUUCGAGACACAGAGAUACAAAGAGAGAGAAAGAGCGUGAGCAGGGG